AAGUAGCCAUACAUGAUGAGUAGGAAUUUGAAGUGAAUUAUGGGAAAAGUGAAAUGGUAAAAAAGAAACUGCUAGCGCUACUGUGCAGACUACCAUCAAUCAACAUGAUCAACAAAAUCAAGUAAUCCUUCUGAUUGUGCUGUGAAAAUAAGAG